GUCCCCGUAGCUCAGUGGAUAGAGCAACCGCCUCCUAAGCGGUAGGUCGCAGGUUCAACUCCCGCCGGGGACACAA
rnacentral:tRNA from 1 species